UACGUAGGGCGCAAGCGUUAUCCGGAAUUAUUGGGCGUAAAGAGCUCGUAGGCGGUUUGUCGCGUCGGAUGUGAAAGCCCGGGGCUUAACUCCGGGUCUGCAUUCGAUACGGGCAGGCUAGAGUGUGGUAGGGGAGAUCGGAAUUCCUGGUGUAGCGGUGAAAUGCGCAGAUAUCAGGAGGAACACCGGUGGCGAAGGCGGAUCUCUGGGCCAUUACUGACGCUGAGGAGCGAAAGCGUGGGGAGCGAACAGG
rnacentral:rRNA from 1 species